rnacentral:misc_RNA from 1 species
GUGAUAGUUUAUGUGACACACGUGAGGUCACGUGUCACGUGUGAGAUUGAUAUAAUAGCCGGCGCGUGUCACGUACAUUAGAGCUACAAAAAUGCGACGACAACACGAAUCAAAUCGCCAACUUUUCUUAAUCACGUCAAUUUUGCAACGUUGAUAUUGUGCAACAGCAUCUGUCAACACUGUCGGAACAGAGGUUUCAGAAUAAUCCACACACCGACCUGGUGAUUUACAGGUAUAAUCAUGGGUAAAGAAGAUAAAAUCAAAUUUUAAUCAAUUAUUUCAAAGACUUCCUUUGCUAUUUUCCAGCUCAUUUCACGUAGUGUCCGAGUGUGAUGGAGAACUAUAUAUUUCCUACCGGGACCGUCCCCCUUCAAUUAAAUAUCUUCCUGAAUCACUGUGUUGGUCGUUCAAAGGCGUGAUAGGCUGUGGUGCUGAGAGGCCCCCGCCCAUCGCUUUCACAGAUGUGUCGAGUGAACGCCCCGUCGGCCAAUGAGAAUUGUUCGUUCCAGUUAGUUGGUAAUUAUAAAAGUGUUCGGCAUGAGCUCUCCUGCACUGCAGUCACGCGGGUAAACAUUGUGUCUGCUGCACGAGGCUAGCUGUCACAGAGAGUAUGGAUCCAAGUCCAUCGCACAUGGAACCAAGUCUCAGCCCAGACGUAACGGCACCCACCUGUCUGAAUGGGGACUCCGAGGAUUCUAUCCUCACCCCCGGGGACCCGACAGUAGGGGGUGGGGACGUCCACAACACAGUGACGGCAACUGACAACACCACCACCAACAACAGAUCCACAGAUGUAAAAUCGCCAUCUUCAACAUCUAACUCGGAAUUACUAGCCGGCAAAAAUUUGACUUUUUCUCCUGAACAGGUUGCGUGUGUUUGUGAGGCAUUACAGCAGAAAGGAGACAUAGAAAGACUAGCUCGAUUCCUCUGGUCUCUUCCUCCGAGUGAAUUAUUACGAGGGAGUGAAGCCGUGCUUAAGGCAAGAGCAACGGUCGCCUUUCAUAGGGGUAGUUACAGGGAACUCUAUGCUAUCUUAGAGAGUCACAGUUUUGAAAGCUCUAAUCAUGCGUUUUUGCAGCAGUUGUGGUAUAAAGCGCAUUACAUGGAGGCUCAGAAGAUACGCGGAAGACCUCUCGGGGCUGUCGAUAAGUAUAGGCUAAGGAGGAAGUUCCCUCUUCCUAAAACAAUCUGGGAUGGCGAAGAGACAGUAUAUUGCUUCAAGGAGAAAUCUCGACAAGCUCUGAAAGAGUGUUACAAACAGAACAGAUACCCAACCCCAGACGAGAAGCGGAAUCUGGCCAAAAAAACAGGACUGACUUUGACGCAAGUCAGCAACUGGUUCAAGAAUCGCCGGCAGCGUGACCGGACCCCUCACAGUCAGGGACACAGCGGACACAGGGACCUAGUUGAGGAAAACAUGAAGCAGGCGAUGCAUCAGAUGUGCAACAUGAACCAGCCCAUGAUGCCUCACGACUACGGCCACCGAGACUUCAAUCUGUCCAUGCCCUUGGUCAAGUCAGAGCCCAUCCCACCCCACUACCUGUGUUCACCACCCAUGGACCACCACCAUCACCACCUGCACCACUCCGUGCCCCCCGUUUGACAGUGGGCCAAUCCAGGAAUGGACUCGACCUGUUGGUAGCAGACGACAUGCUGACGAGAUGUGGUAUAACGACAAUGUUACCUGUGCUUGAGUCCAGUCCUGGAGAGGGUGUUCUUCAUCCGUUUCGGGAAAGGAUGUGCUUCGGACCAGUCCUUGAAAGGAUGUGAGCCCCAUCCUGGUGAAAGGGUACUUUGCGCCAUAAUGAGCUCGGUCUCCAGUAUUUAAUUACGUUGGUUCAUCAGCUUCAACUUUCUGACCUCUAGUUUGCUCUAGACAAAUACUGCCAUGUAGGACUGUCCAUUGCAAACAGAGGACAUCAGAUGUACGCCGUUGGUUAAAACUAAGAACUUACCAGCAUGGAGUGCGUGAAGUCUCCAAGAUGUAUCAACGAACAUUCCUGUCUUCCUCCAGUGUUGGGGGAGACGUUUGAUGGCUUUAAGGACUCAUUUCCUAACUUUUGUCCAAGUCACUAAUGUUGCUUGGAAGAAAGACGUUGACAAUGACACAUUCUGCAAGGUGAAUCUUCUGUACCGUGCUUUGUUAUCUCGUGCUAUGUUUUCUCUGAACAUUUGUUUAUUGUGUAUGUUCCCAGUAUGCUGUGAUGAAGAUGAUGAUGAUGAUGACGAUGGGAGAGUCUUAAAGAACGUGAAUGGGAGAGUGAGUGAUUUCGACACCUAAAGCCCACUGUUUCUGGUACAGUCAUAUCAGAAGUUACGAUGAGGUUAUACUGUAGGUACCAGAAUGUAAAGGAGGAAUAUUAAUUUUGAACGAACGCAGUGCCAUCAGUAGAUUGUUAGCCGUGGACGCUAUCACCACUAUCGUCCUCACGGGGUAUCACAUUGUUUAUCUGGCUACACAUGCCUAGUGCCAGUAUUAACCUUUCAAAUAUUAAAAAACACAUUUAUUAGACACUAGGUUUCAUAAUUGGUCUAGGUUUUAGCCUAAAGAAACAAAAUAAGUACAAAUUGCGACGUUGUGUUCUUUAAAAAGUCUGGAAUUAAUAUAGGUAACGGUGCUACAUCAAAGCAGUUGUUCAUUAGAACCAAGCCUAAGGCCUUCUGUGAACCUAUAUAUGAAUAAUAAACUGAAAUACAGAACAGUUUUCACUCGAAAGUAGUAACUGGAAUUCGGGUAAACAUUUCCACUGAAUGACAAAAACACUGAGUUUUGUCUGGGAUGAUCAGUAACCUAAAUAAUAAGGAAAUAUUUCCAAAUUUUACAAUACUAUGAUAUUGUAUGACAGUAUAAUACCAACUUCCAGAGGGUGUGUGUGCAUUCUUCUGGACAGAACUAAAUGUAGUGCUAGCGUACAUUGUACUGUAUAUAAUGUAAGACAAUAUAAAGAGUUUUCGCUUUGUCAUGAUGUAUACAGUGUGUCAACAAUUGUUCAAAGAUUAUUCGAGUUAAUGUUAUGGAUUUCCCAUAACAGAGUAAUUUAUAUUUUACAGCAUGCUUUAACUUAUGUCACCCUUUUUUCUAUGUCAGAUGGAUAAUUUCAUAUAAACCUUUUUGCAUUAUGUGUUUUCUUGAAUCAGAAUAAAAAGUGUUAUGUUUACUAUAGUUGAUAAGUCUCAAUUUGUAUUUUAAGUUUUGCAAAAUUGCUGUUACAACGCUUUUCAAUAGUAAAUACCACCCGCGGGUACCAUUGGUUAUUUAAAGAGUCAACAUUGAUAGGAAGCAGCUGAAACAUCGGAUCUGGAACUGUCCCACUAAGCAGCGACAGCUCUACGAGUAAUACUGUAUCUUAAGUCUGGAAGUCAAUCCUGGAAGUGGCGCUGAGAAUGUUCUGCGGAAUGGCCCUGAACACAAACCUUUACAGCCCAACCUGAAAUGAAGUGUGAAGUGCUGAUAGGACCACCGAGGUGGACACAUUCUGUGUGUCCCUGUUAUUCUCAACAUGUAUGAUUAUUUUCACUUUGUGUUAAUCCUCAUGGUAUUUUUGAUACUCCGAUGACGUCAUUGCCUAUUGCUAUUAAGUGCACAUCUCCAGGAUUAAGUCUCUGAUAAUUAUCCUCAUGCAUUUAUUUAAAUGGACUAAGUUUAUUCAUCACGCUAUGUAAUGUCCUUUGGGGCUUUUGAUCUCGGCUGCUGAAGACUCCGUCGAAAUUCAAAUAUAUCACUUAGUGCUUAGCCAUAGUGCUCUUGUCGCUUUGGUGGAACGGACCCAGAUGAUAGCGACAUGGAUACAAAGUUAACAUAUUUGCAUCAAUGCAGCAGUAGACAUGGUUGCCGUGACCUCCUUUCAAAAAGGAUUCGGAGAUAUCACCGUCGAUCUCAAAAUGUGCAUCUGAAGGCGUUUAUAUAAUGUAAACUAGGUGUCACGUUCAGAUAAUGGAUGUAUAUCUGACAGAGUUAAGUGCCCUUACCUCCGAGUGUUCAGUUGAAGGGCGCUAACAAAGUUUCAUCUAUUUUUCAAUUUUUUUAAUGUUUGUUACAUUCUUUAUUUUUCGUCUAACAUGACUAUCGAUUCUGUGUGAGUGAGCAAGACGUUCGUGGUCUUCACACGUUACCGUAUACUCGUGUUCAUUUUAUAUGUGCAAUCAUGUCCGAAAAUAAACAAAUGAUAAAACAAUA